rnacentral:lncRNA from 10 species
GUGCUAUACAUGUUAUCAGCUGCAACCCUCUGGACAUAAAUGACUUAAAAUAUGAACAGCAAAAUAUUCCAUAGUAGAUAUUUACUAGUACUUCAUGGAAGGCGAUAAGCACCUUUAACCUCGUCACCAGAGAAAGCCCAACAUAUUUUAUAGUGGCCCAGCUUCUCCUGCAAGACCAAGAUACCGAUUAUCUUCCGCAGGACCAAGAAGUCCUUACUGUAAACGAAUGAACAGGCGAAGGCAUGCAAUCCACAGUAGUGACUCGACUUCAUCUUCCUCCUCUGAAGAUGAACAGCACUUUGAGAGGCGGAGGAAAAGGAGUCGUAAUAGGGCUAUCAAUAGGUGCCUCCCACUAAAUUUUCGGAAAGAUGAAUUAAAAGGCAUUUAUAAAGAUCGAAUGAAAAUUGGAGCAAGCCUUGCCGAUGUUGAUCCAAUGCAACUAGAUUCUUCAGUACGAUUUGAUAGUGUUGGUGGCCUGUCUAAUCAUAUAGCAGCUCUAAAAGAGAUGGUGGUGUUUCCAUUACUUUAUCCAGAAGUCUUUGAA